rnacentral:rRNA from 1 species
UACGUAGGGAGCAAGCGUUGUCCGGAAUCAUUGGGCGUAAAGCGCGCGUAGGUGGCCCCGUAAGUCCGCUGUGAAAGUCAAAGGCUCAACCUUUGAAAGCCGGUGGAUACUGUGGGACUAGAGUACGGAAGAGGCGAGUGGAAUUCCUGGUGUAGCGGUGGAAUGCGCAGAUAUCAGGAAGAACACCCGUGGCGAAGGCGGCUCUCUGGGACGGUACUGACGCUGAGACGCGAAAGCGUGGGGAGCGAACAGG